rnacentral:rRNA from 1 species
CCUACGGGUGGCAGCAGUGGGGAAUAUUGGACAAUGGGCGAAAGCCUGAUCCAGCCAUGCCGCGUGUGUGAAGAAGGCCUUCGGGUUGUAAAGCACUUUCAGUGGGGAAGAAAGCCUUGGGGCUAAUACCCUCGAGGAAGGACAUCACCCACAGAAGAAGCACCGGCUAACUCCGUGCCAGCAGCCGCGGUAAUACGGAGGGUGCGAGCGUUAAUCGGAAUUACUGGGCGUAAAGCGCGCGUAGGCGGUCUGAUAAGCCGGUUGUGAAAGCCCCGGACUCAACCUGGGAACGGCAUCCGGAACUGUCAGGCUAGAGUGCAGGAGAGGAAGGUAGAAUUCCCGGUGUAGCGGUGAAAUGCGUAGAGAUCGGGAGGAAUACCAGUGGCGAAGGCGGCCUUCUGGACUGACACUGACGCUGAGGUGCGAAAGCGUGGGUAGCAAACAGGAUUAGAUACCCCUGUAGUC